AACUUGCCCUUGGGUCCCGGGAUAACCCCUGAGAAAUUGGGGACAAUACCGGAUAGGGCAUCGAUUGCUGGAAUGCACGAUGUCCAAAAGUUGAGGCGCCCAAGGAUAGGUCUGCGGCCGAUUAGGCUGUUGUUGAUGUAAUGGAUCAACAAGCCUGCAAUCGGUACGGGUUGUGAGAGCAAGAGCCCGGAGAUGGGUUCUGAGAAAAGAACCCAGGUCCUACGGGACGCAUCAGGCGCGAAAACUUUACAAUGUCCGAAAGCACGAUAAGGGAACUCUGAGUGCCUCCUAUGGAGGCUGUUCAGGUGUCUAAAAAGCACUUGAAGUAAGGGCUGGGUAAGACCGGUGCCAGCCGCCGCGGUAACACCGGCAGCCCAAGUGGUAGCCACGAUUAUUGGGUCUAAAGCGUCCGUAGCCGGCCAGGUAAGUUCUUUGGGAAAUUUAACCGCUCAACGGUUAAGCUUUCAGGGAAUACUGCUUGGCUUGGGACCGGGAGAGGUCAGAGGUACUUCAAGGGUAGGGGUGAAAUCCGUUAAUCCUUGAGGGACCACCAGUAGCGAAGGCGUCUGACCAGACCGGGUCCGACGGUGAGGGACGAAGGCUAGGGUCGCGAACCGGAUUAGAUACCCGGGUAGUCCUAGCUGUAAACGAUGCGGGCCAGGUGUUGGCAUUACUGCGAGUGAUGUCAGUGCCGAAGGGAAGCCGUUAAGCCCGCCAUCUGGGGAGUACGGUCGCAAGGCUGAAACUUAAAGGAAUAGGCGGGGGAGCACCACAACGGGUGGAGCCUGCGGUUCAAUUGGAUUCAACGCCGGA
rnacentral:rRNA from 1 species